GGGGGUGUAGUGUAGCGGCUUAACACGCUGCCCUGUCAAGGCAGAGAUCGCGGGUUCGAAUCCCGUCAUCCCCGCUA
rnacentral:tRNA from 1 species